AAAAAACUGUAAACGUUUCUUUAUUUAAAGAUAUAAAAUGCUCCUUUGUCAGUAGUUUGUAUUUAAGUAAAAUUUGGCAUACAACACUUUAGUUAUUUUAAGCGUUUUGGAUUUGAAGCGAAGCUACACUUCUUCUGAAACAUUCAUUGGAAAGGAUUUACUGCAUUUUCACAUUUUCCUUCGUCAGAUCUUGUUUUGGGAUAAAGCCAUGAAUACCGCAGAGUUUCAGAUUGGUCGGAAAUUUGUUGAAGACGCAAUCUUACGAAAUUUUUGGUUCAAUGUCAGAGUUACCGUUGAACUUCUUCUUGCGUUUUUCUUCUUCAUUGGUGUUGUAGCAGUGAAGAAACUUUUGAAAUUCUUUAAAAAAAGCAUUCUUAUCUUUAAAAAGAUACUCAAAUGCUUCUAUUCAAUCGUUCGAAUGUUAUGGAGAAGCUGUAUCUAUCUCUUUCAUCGAAUUUUACUUUUGGAAUAUUUAAAAUAGUGAACUGUUCUGCUAUGCAAGUCUCCACAAUUGCUUAUAAUUUCAACGGAAUCGAUUCUACAAUUGAAUGUUUUAAUCCCAAUUUUGCUAGAUUUUGAAAAUUUAUCGCCCGUCGAAAGGAUGAGCUUUUUGAAGUUUGUAUAUAGAUCAUUUAUAAGAUGGCUCUACCCGAGAUUUUUGUUUGAAAUCGUAUUUUUUCUAGAUCUAUUCCGAUUAUGUCAAUUUAUCUUCUCAGGAUUAAUAUUUCAGUUAUCUCAUAAUAUUAAAUUAUAUUUUUAAAUUUAGAAGGAACAAAGAGUAAGUAUUAAACAGGAAUUGAAAAGAAUUAUGGCUAUUGUAAUUCAAUAUCUUAUACUAUCUAUCUUGUUGCUAUAGUUUGAAUAGUCCAUUUAAGGAUGAAAUGAAAAAAAUAUAUAUAAUUAAAAAAAAUGUAAUGUUUAAUAAUUCUUUUUCACUAGAAGUGGAUGACAUUUGUAAUUAAACACUAUUGUUUUUUAAAGGGAAUUUCUUAAGAUAUUCACCUUGCUGUUGCAAAUUUGUACAAAGCUAUAUGCUUUUUGCGAUCUGUUUAUACAUGAAAUGUUUGUUUUGAUAUAACUGAUUUUAAAGUGUUCGUAUAUUUUGAAAUUUCUUGUGAUUAUGUCGAGCUACAUGGAUAGGCUCUUUUAAUGUACUUUCAAAGCUCACCUAAUGCAUCCUCCCAGUGAAUGUAAAUUUUUUUUAAUCUUAUUAUUGGCAUUAUGAAGUUCUUAUUUGAAUUGAAAUCAAAAUGGGAUAAAGUAUUUUAAAAAAUAAGCAGUAGUUUAAAAUGUAAGCAUUCCUUUGCCAAUUGAUUAUAAAUCGAUGCUUCUCGGAUAAUUAGAAAACUUCAUUAUUUUCUUAGAUAUGUAGAUGAACAAAAAUUCCUUUGUCUUAAUAUUUCGAUGAUUUCGAUAAA